CUAAGGGAGCAAGUCGAGCGAAUCAAUGGGAGCUUGCUCCCUGAGAUUAUUGCCGGACGGGUGAGUAACACGUGGGUAACCUGCCUGUAAGACUGGAUAACUUCGGGAAACCGGAGCUAAUACCGGAUAAUUCUUUUCUACACAUGUAGAAAAGCUGAAAGACGGUUUCGGCUGUCACUUACAGAUGGGCCCGCGGCGCAUUAGCUAGUUGGUGAGGUAAUGGCUCACCAAGGCAACGAUGCGUAGCCGACCUGAGAGGGUGAUCGGCCACACUGGGACUGAGACACGGCCCAGACUCCUACGGGAGGCAGCAGUGGG
rnacentral:sRNA from 1 species